UACAGAGGGUGCGAGCGUUAAUCGGAGUUACUGGGCGUAAAGGGCGCGUAGGUGGUUUAGUAAGUGAGAUGUGAAAUCCCUGGGCUUAACCUAGGAACUGCAUCUUAUACUGUUAGACUUGAGUACUGUAGAGGGUAGUGGAAUUUCCGGUGUAGCGGUGAAAUGCGUAGAGAUCGGAAGGAACACCAGUGGCGAAGGCGGCUACCUGGACAGAUACUGACACUGAGGCGCGAAAGCGUGGGGAGCAAACAGG
rnacentral:rRNA from 1 species